AUUGAACGCUGGCGGAAUGCUUUACACAUGCAAGUCGAGCGGCAGCGCGGGGCAACCUGGCGGCGAGCGGCGAACGGGUGAGUAAUGCAUCGGAACGUACCCAGUCGUGGGGGAUAACUGUCCGAAAGGACAGCUAAUACCGCAUACGUCCUGAGGGAGAAAGCGGGGGAUCGCAAGACCUCGCGCGAUUGGAGCGGCCGAUGCCGGAUUAGCUAGUUGGUAGGGUAAAGGCCUACCAAGGCGACGAUCCGUAGCUGGUCUGAGAGGACGACCAGCCACACUGGAACUGAGACACGGUCCAGACUCCUACGGGAGGCAGCAGUGGGGAAUUUUGGACAAUGGGGGCAACCCUGAUCCAGCCAUUCCGCGUGAGUGAAGAAGGCCUUCGGUUGUAAGCUCUUCUAGUGGGAAGAGUAAUGACGGUACCGACAGAAGAAGACCCGGCUAACUUACGUGCCAGCAG
rnacentral:rRNA from 1 species